CGGUAAUUCCAGCUCCAAUAGCGUAUACUAAAGUUGUUGCAGUUAAAAAGCUCGUAGUUGGAUUUCUGUGGGGACGGAGCGGCCGGUCGCAACUUGCGAUUCGAGCUAGCGCUUUCCCUACAUCCUGCCGCGAACCGUGCUACCAUUAGUUUGGUGGCGCCGGGGAUCGGCUCGUUUACUUUGAGAAAAAUAGAGUGUUCAAAGCAGGCCACACGCCUUGAAUAAGUUAGCAUGGAAUAAUAAUAAAGGACUUCGGUUCUAUUUUGUUGGUGUUCGGGACUGAAGUAAUGAUUGAUAGGGACAGUUGGGGCGGUCAGUAUUCCAAAGCGAGAGGUGAAAUUCUUAGACCUUCGGAAGACUAACAGCUGCGAAAGCGUUCCGCAAGGAUGUUCCCUUUGAUCAAGAACGAAAGUUGGGGGAUCGAAGACGAUCAGAUACCGUCGUAGUCUCAACUAUAAACUAUACCAGCUAGGGAUCGGCCAACGUUAAAUUAUUCGACUUGGUCGGCACCUUAUGAGAAAUCAAAGCAUCUGGGUUCCGGGGGGAGUAUGGUCGCAAGGCUGAAACUUAAAGGAAUUGACGGAAGGGCACCACCAGCCGUGGAGCCUGUGGCUUAAUUUGACUCAACACGGGAAAACUUACCAGGUCCAGACAUAGUAAGGAUUGACAGAUUGAUAGCUCUUUCUUGAUUCUGUGGGUGGUGGUGCAUGGCCGUUCUUAGUUGGUGGAGUGAUUUGUCUGGUUAAUUCCGUUAACGAACGAGACCCCAGCCUGCUAAAUAGCGCGGUUGAGCUUUGCUCGGCGCGAGCUUCUUAGAGGGACUAUGAUGCGCGAUAGCACAUGGAAGUUUGGGGCAAUAACAGGUCUGUGAUGCCCUUAGAUGUUCUGGGCCGCACACGGGCUACACUGGCGCCUGCAACGAGCAUAUCAGCUGGCCCGAGAGGGUCUUGGCUAAUCUUUUGAACCGGCGCCGUGCUUGGGAUUGACCAUUGCAAUUGUUGGUCAUGCAACGAGGAAUGCCUUGUAAACGCGAGUCAUCAACUCGCAUUGAAUACGUCCCUGCCCUUUGUACACACCGCCC
rnacentral:rRNA from 1 species